GACGAACGCUGGCGGCGUGCUUAACACAUGCAAGUCGAACGGAAAGGCCCUGCUUUUGUGGGGUGCUCGAGUGGCGAACGGGUGAGUAACACGUGAGUAACCUGCCCUUGACUUUGGGAUAACUUCAGGAAACUGGGGCUAAUACCGGGUAGGAGCUCCUGCUGCAUGUGGGGGGUUGGAAAGUUUCGGCGGUUGGGGAUGGACUCGCGGCUUAUCAGCUUGUUGGUGGGGUAGUGGCUUACCAAGGCUUUGACGGGUAGCCGGCCUGAGAGGGUGACCGGCCACAUUGGGACUGAGAUACGGCCCAGACUCCUACGGGCGGCAGCAGUGGGGAAUAUUGCACAAUGGGCGGAAGCCUGAUGCAGCAACGCCGCGUGCGGGAUGACGGCCUUCGGGUUGUAAACCGCUUUCGCCUGUGACGAAGCGUGAGUGACGGUAAUGGGUAAAGAAGCACCGGCUAACUACGUG
rnacentral:rRNA from 1 species